rnacentral:lncRNA from 1 species
ACAUUCACCCACCCGUUGACCUUUUCUCUCUCCUCUCCCUUUCGAUUUUCUGCAACGUCCGUACAAACGUACGGACGAACCUCAAACCAACCCAUUUAUGCACAGAUCGAGCUUGUGAUUAGUACCAUCUCCUUCCUCUCGUCAUCGCGAACUCAACCAUACCAAUUGUUGGACGUGAAACCGUUGAAAACCCGAGAACCCAGGCACCCCGAAGAAGGCACUGCUUAUACUCUUGUGAUCGUGGGGGUUUCAGUUGAUUCUGAGCUUAUGGGAAGCUUUAGAUCACCCUCAUGAUGCUCGGAGUACCAUUUUCACGAAGUUUGGACGUCGGGAUUGUGUAGAACCAAAGAACCCAAUAUUUGGUACUGUUCAUGUGCUCGUGGAAUUAAAGGUUUCAAGGUAUUUGGAGCUCAUAGGGAGCUUAAGGACCUCUCCACGAAGCUCGGAGAGGAAGAAUGAGGUGAUUUAGACGUCUGGAGACCGAGAUCGAAGCAUCACGGUUUGGCCGGAAUUAUCGAAGGAUCUCUGGCAAAUUCUCGAAGGUUUUAGGUCCAAAUCUUGGUAAAGUUUUGUUUCUUAUGUUGUAAGCUUCAUUUUGGUGAAGAUUUCAUGAAAAAUGGUUAAGAAUUGACUGAAAUACGAAGCCUGGAAAAUUUCCAGAAACCGGCGAGUUGCAGCGGCACCGGCGACGGUCUCCGGCGAACCAAGGAAGAAGGAGGAGUAUACUCCGUCAAGUCUGACGGAAUAUGCUAACGGCGUCAGUUAUAUUAAACGGUAUAUUCUGAUUUUUAACGGAAUAUUCCCUAACUGCCGUUACUGUUACCGUUAGGGUUCCUCGCGCGUGGCGGCGCGUCUUGCCGUGCACUCGCCGGCGCGUGGCGGCGCGUGGGUGGUCGGAAAAUUUUUCUAAAAUUAUGGGGUUGUUCGUGAGGUUGAGUAAUCACUGUGGUAUAUUCAUAUACCCAAAUUGAGCAACGUAUGAGAAGUUAUUUCCAAGGUUUUGAUUAUGUGCUUAAAUAACGUUAUUUCGGUUACUUCUCAUAUAGGCGAGGCUUAUGCGGACGAUGAGCAAAGUUAAGGGAGGCUCGGGGGCUACGACCCUUCGACAUAUCUGUGUGUGGGCAGUUUUGUUUUCGUAUUACCUAUAUACUACUGUUUUCCCAUAAAAUACGUUUAUAUGAAAAUAUGAUUUAAAUUGCCAUGCAUGCAAUUGUUGAGAUAUUUAAAUUGAUAAUUGAUGCAUAUAUAUGUGAAUUGACGCGGUGGACGCACAGGUGAGUCUUUACAUUAUUCAGACGAUUUAUUUUAUGUGAAUUGCAUUGGAAGCUCAUAACCUGCACCCUAGGUGUUAGUGCUUAUAUUAUUCACCACACCGCACGCUCGCCUUGGAUCCAAGUAGGUGGAUGUCGUACAGACCACUAGAGGUGGUUCCGACAUGCCAGUCGUACAGACCAUUAGAGUGGUUCCGACUGGUGGGUGACCUUAGAUUACGUGCACAAAUGAUUGAUGAGAGAAGCACUAGAGCGUAUUAUUACACCAUUAUAGUCGUACAGACUACUUUAGGUAGUUCCGACUUAUGUGCAGUGUAGCGCCGUAUAGGUCACAGUUGGUGACUCCGGCAGGGCAGUACAGGUCACAGUUGGUGACUCCGGCUGGAUGAGAUUUUGAGCUAUAGUUUCAGCCGUACAGGACCAUUGUAGGAUCUCCGGUUGAUUUAUUUUUCACCUGAUUUAUAUUGAUGCAUUCAUAUUAUAGUUUGGCAUGGCAUGGCAUAUUUUUUUCCGAAAAGUGUUAAAGAAAUGAGUUUUGAGAUUUAUGAAAGUAUAUUUGUACAUAUGCUAUUUUUCUGGGAAAGUACAAGUUUUACGGAGAGGGGUUACAACGUUUUGAGAAAUGUUUUGUCUUGAAAAGAUUGGUUUUACUGACCCACUCAACUUUGUUUUUCGCUCCUCCAGGUUCGAGACAGAGCAGAGCUUUGGUGGCCACGAGGAAUCCAACGGUGUUCUGACAGAAUUUCAAAAACGUAGGUUUCACUUUCGGGUAUUAUACAUUAGUAUUUAUGUCUUUAAAGCUUCCGAACCGUGUAAAUGGUUACGUCACUCUCACGUGAUGGCCAACAUACCCUCCUUCGGGACGAGGUGUGUCAGUCAGAGCCCUAGGUUGCAAUCCUGGACAUCUUGAGAAUUCCCUAGUGUCUUCUGUCAGAACUAUACCACCUCGUAGGGAGCCACGCCAUUUAGAUGAGCUUAGUUUCCCUAAUUUAGCAGUUUAGGGGAAACUAUUGCUAUUGUGAUUCAGUCUAUUAUCUAAGAAACCCUUUGAGACUGGUUAUAAGUUGAAUUUGAAUCACUUUAUGGAAUUAUGAACCUGAGGGAGCAGAGUGUUGGCUUACUCACUUGGAAAAGACGUUUUGGAUUAUGCAAGUUAAAGGAAUCUUCCUUCUGACAGGUGGGUCGAGACGACUACCUGGUUGUGGGUUAUGAAUUUGUAUCCUGGUGGAAACAGGAGUAUUAUUCGUUGUCACCGGAGGAAACAACCGAUUGAGAAUUGUUUAAGGAAUUGUUAAAGAAAAGAUUUAUUCCUCCGACAUAUUAUGAUGGUAGUAAGCAAGAGUUUGCAAAUGUGAAACAAGGAAGAUGACAACAAAUGAGUAUUAUAGAAAGUUUUCAGACUUGCCUCGUUUCCAUUCGGAUAUUGUUGCUAAUUUGGUUGAGUUGUUAUGUUGUUUUAGGCUGGGUAAUAAGAAGAAGUGGCAUUUUUGGGGACCACUAUCCAUUGUACUGAUUAUCAAGAGUUUACGAGAUGUUGUUGAAAAUUGAGGAUUCUGAGAAUAUGAUCAGCUAGAGUAAAGAGGAAUAAGAAAAAAAAUGGGAAUUAGAAGAAAGACGAUAAAGAUGAUGAUCCGUCAUAUCAAGGACCUCGAAAGAUUCAGAGUUCCAUAAGUGAAGCUAGAGCGAAUUCUCCCAGCUGAGGUUUUAAUGCCACUGGUCAGAGGUGAAGUGAUAGAUUUAUUGGUGAUCCCAGAUCUCAGAGACAAGGUGAUUUGAAUAAGGGAAAUGUACCUUUGUACAGCAGGAACAAUAUUAGACACUUGGAGAGUGGGAAUCAAUGAAUGUGUCAUGUGGACAGGUGGAACAUAGAGUUAUGUGUUGCCCCUAGAAUCAGUUGUUAACCAGCAGUUUUCCCUGACACCACAGUAUCGAUCCAGCAGGUUUACGGACUUAGUAGUUUUGGUCAGAUUGACCGUGGGUACAUGGAUAGAUGAGUUAUAUGUUCAGCUGUACAGGCCAUAAGAGGUGGAUCCGGCUGACAUAUUAUUUGGAUAGUUGUUGAGUAAGUUGUACAGGUCACUAUAGGUGACUCCGACUUAAUCGCUAGCAUGGAUGGUUGAGCUUGAGAAUCAGCCGUACAGGUCAUUCUAGCUGACUCCGGCUGAUAUGUAUCUUAUUAUGGAUGAUGUUGCCAAGGAAAGUAGCGAAUGAGCACGAUCGAGGCGUGAAUAUGUAUUUUUCCCUGUGAGGAGUAAGAUGGUAAUGUUGCACCCUUUGGAAUUGUUGCUUACUUACCGAGACAACGAUAAUUUAUUAAUAUUGUGGGCUGCAGACCGUAAUAUUAAUAACUUAUUCGUUGGAUCCGUUAAGCAAGUAAACAGGUAGGUUACCCUACAUGAGUUUGGUGUUAUUAAGAGUGUUCAGUGAUGGUCGAAAAUAUAGUUAUGCCAGUGAAUCUUAUUUCGUUGGAGAUUUGGAUGUGAUUUUAGGCACAUAUUAGUAGCAUUAAAUCGUGCCAUCAUAGAUUGCUACGAGAAACUAGUUACUUUCCAUUGAUCUGAUUGACUGGAGUUUACUUUUGUAGGUAUGCAAAGUGGAGCGAGGCAUGUCGUUAGUUGCUGGGAGAGCAAAUAGAUUGUUAUCGAAAGGCUGCCAAGGAUAUUUAGCUCAUGCAGUACUAAGAGAUGUUGCUCUGAGUAGUGUGAAGGAUGUCAAGGUGGUUGGACAUUUUCUUGAUGUUUUCCCUGAGGAAUUUCCUGGAUUACCAUCAGGCGGAGAUGUGGAGUUCAUUAUUAAUUUGUCUCCAGGUACGGACCUUAUAUUAUAGAUUGAUGUCUUCUGAGUUAAGGGAAUUGAACAAGUUCAGUUACAAGAAUUGAUUGAUAAAGGUUCCAUUCAACAUAGUUUGUUGCUUUGGAGGACCCCAGUUUUGUUUGUAAGGAGGAAGAAAAUGAACGUUAAGACUAUACAUUAAUUAUAGGAAACUGAAUCGGGCAAAUUUUGAGAACGAUUAUCUAUUGCCACGCAUGGAUGAUUUGUCAAUCGAUUUGGAGGUGCCUGCGUAUUUCCUAAGAUGGAUUUGAGGUCUGGUUAUUACCAAUUGGAGAUUGAGUGACGAUGUUCCUAAGAUUGUUUUCAGGACUCGUUAUGGUCAUUAUGAGUUUUAGUGAUGCUAUUCGGACUGACGAAUGCGCCUGCUGCUUUCACGAGAUUGUUAAGACUUGAUCAGAACAUAUCGGACAUCUUAAAUUGGUAUUACAAAGAUUGAAGGAACGUCGAUGUAUGCUAAGUUUAGCAAAUGCUAAUGUUGGGUGAGUCAUGUAGCAUUUCUGAGUUAUGUUAUAUCUGCUUAAGGUACUCAAUUGAAAUCUUAAAAUGUAGCAGAAUUGGAGAAAUUGGAACAACCGUGAACCGUGGCUGAAGUUUGAAAUUUUCUUGGCUUAGUAGGGUGUUAUAGAUGGUUUGUUGAGGGUUUUUCAGUUAUUACCUUGCCAUUGACGAGUUUGAUAAGGAAAGAGGUUAUGUGUGAGUGGGAAGGAAAUUGUGAGUAAAGUUUCCAAUAGUUGCAGUAUUUCCUCACUCAUGCGUAUGUUUUAGCACUUCAAGACGUUAACGGUAAUUAUGAGGUCUUUAAUGAUGCUUCUUUGAAUGGUAUUGGAUGUGUUAAGGCAAAAGUGUUAGGGUAAUUGCCUAUGCUCCGCGACAAAUUGAAACCUCAUGAGAUAAUUUACUCUACUCAUAAGUUAGAAUUUGCACUAUCAUCCUUACUUUGAAGUUAUGGAGACAUUACCGCUAUGGUGAGAAAUACAAGAUUGUUAUGGAUUAUAAGAGUCUUUAGUAUCUGUUUACACAGAGGGAUUUUAAUCUUAGACAACGAAGGUGGAUUGAGUUGCUUAGUGUUUAUGAUUGCAUGACCAGGGUGAUCGUGAAAUUUUUAUAGCUGAUGCACUUGAUAAGAAGACUGCAGUGAGGAUUAAUGCCUGGUAUGUUUGCCAUGUUCAUCUUCUUGUGGAUUUGAGACCUACUGGAAUAAAGUUGAGAAUGGAAGAUCGGGAAUAAGCCGUACUUGCUAAUUUUCAAGUUAGGCUUUUUUGGUAAAUCGUACUCGAGACUCAAGCGUUUGACGAAGAAAUUCAAUUUAAAGCAAGGAAUAACGGGAAAAAGAAAGAUUUCAGAAUUCGAGAAUCGGAUGACAUGUUUAUGCAAGAAAACAAGACGUAUGUGCCUAAUGACGUGGAAUCAAAGAAAGCAAUUUUGGACAAAGAGCACUAUUCAGCUUAUGCAACGCAUCCUGAAAGUAUUAAAAUGUAUCAUACCAUUCGACAAUUUUUCUAUUGGCCGGGCAUGAAAAGAAAAAUUACGGAGUAUGUAAGUUUGUGUAUUAUUGGUCAGCAGAUUGAAGCAAAAAGAAAGAAACCUUUGGAUUGAGACAGCUAUUUUCUGUUUCGCAGUGGAAGUGGAAACAAUAUUACUUUAGAUUAUGUGUACAAGCUUCCUCGUACACGAGAUGGUCAUGAUUAAAUUUGAGGCUAUAGAUGGUCGGUUUACCAAGUCAGCGCAUGUUACGCCAGUGAAGAGUAGCAACCUUUCCAGACAGUGCAACAAUUACUUAUUUGUUUAUGGAAAUAGAUUUGGACUUACGGAGCUGCGGAGCUUUUAAGUGUGUUGGUUACGUCAGUUUUCCGAAAGUAGCACCAUUAGGCCCAUGAAAACAGUGUCAUGUGUAUCGAUUUUUGUUAACUUGUGGACGGAAUGUUUCUGGGGAGAAAAAGAUUCGACCGCGAAAGGUACAAUAGUAGAGGAGACUACUCAGAACGCUCAAGUACUUAAGCCUAACCGACUGACAUGCUAUUGUUCGAGUAUGCAUGGUUAAUGAUUUGAUAUUUUUGAAACUUUCACCAAGGAAAGAGAUAGUAAGGUUUGGAAGAAAGACAAGCUAAGUGCUAGUUACAUCAGACCGUUUUUUAUCACUGAAGGAAUCGAUGAAGUUGCAUACAGGUUUGAGUUGUCUUCAGAAUUGGCUAAGGUGCCUAAUGUAUUUUUGUUUUGAUGUUUCGUCACUAUGUAGCAUAUCCGUCGUAUGGGAUUCCAGUUCAACCUUUGGAGAUUAAUCGAAUUUGACUUAUGUUGAGGAACCAGUGACGAUCUUGGGUUGGAAAAAAGAAAGUUCUGAGAACUAAGAUAGCGUACUUAGUAAACGUUUUGUGAAGAAACCAUUCAGUGGAAGAAACUGCAUGGGAGACAGAGAAUUGGAUGAGAGAGAUGUAUAUCAGUUUGUCUUAUGUUUAUUGGUGGAUUAUGAUCGUAUGAAAUUUCGAGGACGAAAUUUUAUAAGGUGGGUAGAUUGUAACAGCCCGUCCUAAAAUAUUGGAAUAUUUUAUUUUCUAAUGGCGUGAAAAGACGAUUUUGCCCUUGGGUUAAUGAAUUUUGUUGUGGCGUUGUAUGGCUUAAGUUGUGAAUGUGGACAAAUAGGUUAAGUCCCUAAUAUUUUGGAACCAAUUAGGGACUUAGACUUGAAUUAUUUUUGUUGUUGUUUUGCCUUGGUUGGCUGGAUCACGCACGGACCACACAUUCACCCACCCGUUGACCUUUUCUCUCUCAUCUCCCUUUCGAUUUUCUGCAACGUCCGUACAAACGUACGGACGAACCUCAAACCAACCCAUUUAUGCACAGAUCAAGCUUGUGAUUAGUACCAUCUCCUUCCUCUCGUCAUCGCGAACUCAACCAUACCAAUUGUUGGACGUGAAACCGUUGAAAACCCGAGAACCCAGGCACCCCGAAGAAGGCACUGUUUAUACUCUUGUGAUCGUGGGGGUUUCAGUUGAUUCUGAGCUUAUGGGAAGCUUUAGAUCACCCUCAUGAUGCUCGGAGUACCAUUUUCACGAAGUUUGGACGUCGGGAUUGUGUAGAACCAGAGAACCCAAUAUUUGGUACUGUUCAUGUGCUCGUGGAAUUAAAGGUUUCAAGGUAUUUGGAGCUCAUAGAAAGCUUAAGGACCUCUCCACGAAGCUCGGAGAGGAAGAAUGAGGUGAUUUAGACGUCUGGAGACCGAGAUCGAAGCAUCACAGUUUGGCCGAAAUUAUCGAAGGAUCUCUGGCAAAUUCUCGAAGGUUUUAGGUCCAAAUCUUGGUAAAGUUUUGUUUCUUAUGUUGUAAGCUUCAUUUUGGUGAAGAUUUCAUGAAAAAUGGUUAAAAAUUGACUGAAAUACGAAGCCUGGAAAAUUUCCAGAAACCGGCGAGUUGCAGCGG